AACGAACGCUGGCGGCAGGCUUAACACAUGCAAGUCGAGCGAAGACUUCGGUCUUAGCGGCGGACGGGUGAGUAACGCGUAGGAACGUACCCCAAAGUGAGGGAUAAGCACCAGAAAUGGUGUCUAAUACCGCAUGUGGUCUAAGGAUUAAAGCUUCGGCGCUUUGGGAGCGGCCUGCGUAUGAUUAGCUUGUUGGUGAGGUAAUAGCUCACCAAGGCGAUGAUCAUUAGCUGGUCUGAGAGGAUGAUCAGCCAGACUGGGACUGAGAACGGCCCAGACUCCUACGGGAGGCAGCAGUAGGGAAUUUUCCACAAUGGGCGAAAGCCUGAUGGAGCAACGCCGCGUGCAGGAUGAAUGCCUUCGGGUUGUAAACUGCUUUUAUAUGUGACGAUUAUGACGGUAGCAUAUGAAUAAGGAUCGGCUAAUUCCGUGCCAGCCGCCGCAGUAAAA
rnacentral:rRNA from 1 species